rnacentral:snRNA from 1 species
GAUGCAUUUGGAGAUUAUUGAG